UGAGUAACACGUAUGCAACCUGCCUGCCACAGCCGGAUAAUCGGGAGAAAUUCCGUCUAGUACGGCAUAAUGCAUCGACGGGACAUCCUGUUGGUGCCAAAGGUUAAUUCCGGUGGCGGAUGGGCAUGCGUCGCAUUAGUUAGUUGGCGGUGUAACGGACCACCAAGACGACGAUGCGUAGGGGUUCUGAGAGGAAGGUCCCCCACACUGGUACUGAGACACGGACCAGACUCCUACGGAAGGCAGCAG
rnacentral:rRNA from 1 species